rnacentral:rRNA from 1 species
ACGGAAGGCAGCAGUGGGGAAUAUUGGGCAAUGGGCGAAAGCCUGACCCAGCAACGCCGCGUGAAGGAAGAAGGCCUUCGGGUUGUAAACUUCCUUUACCAGGGACGAAUAAUGACGGUACCUGGAGAAAAAGCAACGGCUAACUACGUGCCAGCAGCCGCGGUAAUACGUAGGUUGCAAGCGUUGUCCGGAUUUACUGGGUGUAAAGGGCGUGUAGGCGGAGCUGCAAGUCAGAAGUGAAAUCUCCGGGCUUAACCCGGAAACUGCUUUUGAAACUGUUGCCCUUGAGUAUCGGAGAGGCAGGCGGAAUUCCUAGUGUAGCGGUGAAAUGCGUAGAUAUUAGGAAGAACACCAGUGGCGAAGGCGGCCUGCUGGACGACAACUGACGCUGAGGCGCGAAAGCGUGGGGAGCAAACAGGAUUAGAUACCCUGGUA